UACGUAGGUGGCAAGCGUUGUCCGGAAUCACUGGGCGUAAAGUGCGCGCAGGCGGCGAUCUACGUCUGGGGUGAAAGCCCGGAGCUCAACUCCGGGACUGCCUUGGAUACGGGAUCGCUUGAGGAUUGGAGAGGCAAGGGGAAUUCCACGUGUAGCGGUGAAAUGCGUAGAUAUGUGGAGGAACACCUGUGGCGAAGGCGCCUUGCUGGCCAAUUUCUGACGCUGAGGCGCGAAAGCGUGGGGAGCAAACAGG
rnacentral:rRNA from 1 species